UUUUCACGGGAUUCACAGAUGAACUUGAGUUGAGCCAAUCUAGCAUAUGAUUGGCGAUGGGGUUUGACGAGUUCUCUAUGACCUCCGUCAAGUCGGGACUCACGAUAAAGGGAUUGUAUCACACGAUAACUGUACAUAGGGCUUCAUUUUUCUGUUCUGCUGGGUUAUCACUACAUAUUGCUAGACGUCACUGGUGGAUCGUGAGAACUUACUAAGAUCAUUUUCGGAUCAACGAUCUUUGUUGAGGUGAGUUGGAAUCGUUUCAACCCAUCGAAAAGAGUUUCAAUGAUACUAUGAUGGAGAUCACGGUAUGUCUCACUAUUAGACAGAAUAGAACCUGAGGGGUCACACACAAA
rnacentral:lncRNA from 1 species